rnacentral:rRNA from 1 species
UACGUAGGGGCCGAGCGUUGUCCGGAGUUACUGGGCGGAAAGCGCGCGCAGGCGGCUCGUCAAGCCUGACGUGAAAGCCCCCGGCUCAACCGGGGAGGGUCGUCGGGGACUGGCGAGCUUGAGGUCGGCAGGGGCUGGUGGAAUUCCCGGUGUAGUGGUGAAAUGCGUAGAGAUCGGGAGGAACACCCGUGGCGAAGGCGGCCAGCUGGGCCGUACCUGACGCUGAGGCGCGAAGGCGUGGGGAGCGAACGGG